rnacentral:rRNA from 1 species
AUUGAACGCUGGCGGCAGGCUUAACACAUGCAAGUCGAGCGAGCGGCGGACGGGUGAGUAAUGUCUGGGAAACUGCCUGAUGGAGGGGGAUAACUACUGGAGACGGUAGCUAAUACCGCAUACCAUCAGAUGUGCCCAGAUUGGAUUAGCUCGUAGGUAGGGUAAUGGCUCACCUAGGCGACGAUCCCUAGCUGGUCUGAGAGGAUGACCGGCCACAUUGGAACUGAGACACGGUCCAGACUCCUACGGGAGGCAGCAGUAGGGAAUAUUGCACAAUGGGCGAAAGCCUGAUGGAGCAAUGCCGCGUGUGUGAAGAAGGCCUUCGGGUUGUAAAGCACUUUCAGCGAGGAGGCGUUACUCGCAGAAGAAGCACCGGCUAACUCCGUGCCAGCAGCCGCGGUAAUUC